rnacentral:rRNA from 1 species
UACGUAGGGUGCAAGCGUUAAUCGGAAUUACUGGGCGUAAAGCGUGCGCAGGCGGUUAUGCAAGACAGAGGGGAAAUCCCCGGGCUCAACCUGGGAACUGCCUUUGUGACUGCAUAGCUAGAGUACGGUAGAGGGGGAUGGAAUUCCGCGUGUAGCAGUGAAAUGCGUAGAUAUGCGGAGGAACACCGAUGGCGAAGGCAGCCCCCUGGGCUAGCACUGACGCUGAGACGCGAAAGCGUGGGGAGCAAACAGG